UACGUAGGGCGCAAGCGUUGUCCGGAAUUAUUGGGCGUAAAGAGCUCGUAGGCGGUUUGUCGCGUCUGCUGUGAAAACCUAAGGCUCAACCUUGGGCUUGCAGUGGGUACGGGCAGACUAGAGUGCGGUAGGGGUGACUGGAAUUCCUGGUGUAGCGGUGGAAUGCGCAGAUAUCAGGAGGAACACCGAUGGCGAAGGCAGGUCACUGGGCCGCAACUGACGCUGAGGCGCGAAGGCUAGGGUAGCAAACAGG
rnacentral:rRNA from 1 species